rnacentral:rRNA from 1 species
UGGGGAAUCUUCCGCAAUGGACGAAAGUCUGACGGAGCAACGCCGCGUGAGUGAAGAAGGUCUUCGGAUUGUAAAGCUCUGUCGUUUGGGACGAACGUAUCCUGUGUGAAUAAUGCAGGGUAAUGACGGUACCAAAGGAGGAAGCCACGGCUAACUACGUGCCAGCAGCCGCGGUAAUACGUAGGUGGCAAGCGUUGUCCGGAAUUAUUGGGCGUAAAGGGCGUGUAGGUGGAUUCUUAAGUCUUGUGUCUAAGUGCGGGGCUCAACCCCGUAUGGGCGCAGGAAACUGGGAAUCUUGAGUGCAGGAGAGGAAAGUGGAAUUCCCAGUGUAGCGGUGAAAUGCGUAGAUAUUGGGAGGAACACCAGUGGCGAAGGCGACUUUCUGGACUGUGUCUGACAC